rnacentral:misc_RNA from 1 species
GGAAGUAAAAGUCGUAAAAAGGUUUCCGUAGGUGAACCUGCGGAAGGAUCAUUAUUGUAUAACCGAGGUGCGAGGGCUGUCGCUGACCCGAAAGGUCGUGCACGCCCGAGUGCCCUCACACACAUCCAUCUCACCCCUAUGUGCACCACCGCGUGGGUCCCCCUUUGGCUUGUUCGGAGGGGGGCUUACGUUUUCACACAAACUUUGUAUGCAGUGUAGAAUGUAUUUUUUGUUUUUGCGAUCACGCAAUCAAUACAACUUUCAACAACGGAUCUCUUGGCUCUC